AGAGAGGGAACACAAGCAGGGGGAGUGGGAGAGGGAGAAGCAGGCUCCCCGCAGAGCAGGGAGCCCGAUGCGAGACUCGAUCCAAGGACCCUGGGAUCAUGACCUGAGCUGAAGGCAGUCGCUUAACCAACUGAGCCACCCAGGCGCCCCCACCUUAAGCAUUCUUAAGGGUAGCGUUGAGUGGUGGUAUCAGCACCUGUUUACAGUGCCGGACACAGAGUAGGCCCUCUAUUUCACUGAGUGAAUGAAUGGUCUCUGGAGAGAGGUCUGGAAUCUCUUGGCAUGUUUUCCUUGCAUCUGUCCUCAUUCUCCCUAGAAUCUCAGCACAAAGAGACAUCUCAAAGUUCAAGCCCCUGUCUCUGAUGCUUGAAUUCCCUCCAAGACUGGGGACUACUUGGUAACACAACUGUCUUUGGCUCAGAGCCCCAGUUUUGAUGAUAAAAGAGCAAAGAAUGGAAAGUGUUAUAUGAUACACAAAAUAAUACGGUAUGCGGGUCGGGUCUCGAAGUCUGCAUUGCUAACAAAGUCUCCGAGGGUGCCUCUUCUAGAUUACACUGUGAAUAUUAAAGAAAGUGGAUUCUGCAACCAGACUUGCUGGGUUCAAAUUACACACAGUUACCGCUGAUGAGCUGCGAUCUUCAGUAAACUAGUCUCUUCGUGCCUCAGUUUUCUUAUCUAUAAA